AUUGAACGCUGGCGGCAGGCCUAACACAUGCAAGUCGAACGAGUGGCGGACGGGUGAGUCAUGUCUGGGAAACUGCCUGAUGGAGGGGGAUAACUACUGGAAACGGUAGCUAAUACCGCAUACCAUCAGAUGUGCCCAGAUGGGAUUAGCUUGUUGGUGGGGUAACGGCUCACAAAGGCGACGAUCCCUAGCUGGUCUGAGAGGAUGACCAGCAACACUGGAAUUGAGCAACGGCCCAGAGUCCUACGGGAGGAAGCAGGGGGGAAUAUUGCACAAUGGGGGAAAGCCUGAUGCAGACAUGCCGCGUGUAUGAAGAAGGCCUUCGGGUUGUAAAGUACUUUCAGCGGGGAGGCGUUACCCGAAGAAGAAGCACCGGCUAACUCCGUGCCAGCAGCCGCGGUAAUAC
rnacentral:rRNA from 1 species